rnacentral:rRNA from 1 species
ACGAACGCUGGCGGCGUGCUUAACACAUGCAAGUCGAACGGAAUGGCCCUGCUUUUGUGGGGUGCUCGAGUGGCGAACGGGUGAGUAACACGUGAGUAACCUGCCCUUGACUUUGGGAUAACUUCAGGAAACUGGGGCUAAUACCGGAUAGGAGCUCCUGCUGCAUGGUGGGGGUUGGAAAGUUUCGGCGGUUGGGGAUGGACUCGCGGCUUAUCAGCUUGUUGGUGGGGUAGUGGCUUACCAAGGCUUUGACGGGUAGCCGGCCUGAGAGGGUGACCGGCCACAUUGGGACUGAGAUACGGCCCAGACUCCUACGGGAGGCAGCAGUGGGGAAUAUUGCACAAUGGGCGGAAGCCUGAUGCAGCAACGCCGCGUGCGGGAUGACGGCCUUCGGGUUGUAAACCGCUUUCGCCUGUGACGAAGCGUGAGUGACGGUAAUGGGUAAAGAAGCACCGGCUAACUACGUG